rnacentral:lncRNA from 10 species
GUCUCCGCCAUGGGCCUGCGCCGCCUCGGGACCGGGGUCAGGGUGCCACGGCUUACCAAUGGAAGAUUAGGCCAGAUGGCUCCUGAGAGUGCUUUGGGAGAUUCUCUGUUCCUUCUGGGAAUGGCAGGGAUAGGAGGGGGUCCCAGAAGUUUGAACGCUUUGGCAUCCAAGAAAUCACACUCCAAAUACUGCUCUUCUGGCCUCCCCUGGGCUGCCUUCUCCAACCGUGUUCCUGGGAACCGAAGGGCAGAAAUUGCCCUCUUGGGCUUAUAAACAAGGAGCUCCUGCCUGCCUGGAUGAAGAGGAGGUCAAGACUUUGUCCCCCACUCCGCAAGAUACCCUCUCUGUUCCGGAGCGGUGAGACAGGAUUUCACCAUGUUAGCCAGGAUGGUCUUGAUCUCCUGACCUCAUGAUCUGCCCACCUCGGCCUCCCAAAGUGCUGGGCUUACAGGCGUGAGCCACCGUGCCCGGCCAAAAAUAACUUUUAAAAACAUGAGUAUAGCAUACACACACACAAAAGUCCACAAAUCCUAGGUGU